GCUGGAGGACACAUGGAAGAGGAAGGGAGCUGUGUUUUGCCCAGUUCUGCAGUUCCUGAUGAUCCCUACAGAUCGGCAUGACCCCAUGGCUGCAAUCCUGCUGCACUGCUCCUCUCCAUGGAGGGUGCCAUGAGCCACACAGUUGCCAAGAAAGGGAAAUAGGUUCAAGAGUGUUGGAAAGUGCUCCGGACAGCAAGCAGGGCGGCUGCUCCCGUCAUGGCGGACUGCGAAAACCCAGGCGGCGCGCGACGCAGCGGGGCAGGCAGUGUCGCUGCUGCCGCUGCGUGACCCAUCUUGCAAUGGAUACUGCAAGCGUGAUGUCGGGCAGAGCCGAACGCCGCCUGGCUCCCGGCGGCUGGAACGGAGACGGGCGAACUCCGCCACCCGCAGCGCCGGGGAUGGAGAGAGAGUUCCCCAACUCAAGCAGCUCCCUUCCCAAAUUCCAUAGUAAUAAAUGAGCUUAUCCCAGUCGGGACCUCUCGGCACACCUCGAAUUGCAGAUCAGCUCGCGGCACGGGGCGCUGGCUCAGCGGGGCCGCCCUGGCCUCGGGUCUUCUUCGUUGGGUCUCUUUUUCUCCCGAAGUUGCGGCAUCUCGCUGCCUUGCUGGCCAUGGGCAGAAGGGCCGAGGACAAAGGGAGGUGGACAGAAGUUGAGCGACUUUCCCUUCCCGCUGCCUCCCCUCAGAUACGGGCUGAUUUCUGUUGUCGGUGACACAUUCAGCUCCGGGCAGCAUUCCCAGCACCGGCACCACCAGCAGACGGGCGCCUCGUCAUAUUCAUGGAAAGCAAACUCACAGAUGGUAAAAUAACAGAGUCGUGUAGGUUUCAAAGAGACCUUCUAUGUCAAUUGUUAUAUUAUUAGGUAAACUCUAAGAAGAAAAUCUUUUAAUCCACUGUGGCUAAUCCAGUCCACUUUUGUUGGCCAGGACAUAUUCAGCAUCAACAAAAGGCUCUGGCCGACGAACA